rnacentral:rRNA from 1 species
CUUUACUGUAGCCUGGAAUUGUGUCCGGGCUUCGCUUGCGCAGGAUAGGUGGGAGGCUGUGAGAGUGUCCUUGUGGGGACACUGGAGCCAACGGUGAGAUACCACUCUGUUAAGGCUAGAAUUCUAACUUGUGCCCGUUAUCCGGGACGAGAACAGUUUCAGGUGGGCAGUUUGACUGGGGCGGUCGCCUCCUAAAUGGUAACGGAGGCGCGCAAAGGUUCUCUCAGGCUGGUUGGAAAUCAGCCGUAGAGUGUAAAAGCACAAGAGAGCUUGACUGUGAGAUGUACAUAUCGAGCAGGGACGAAAGUCGGCUUUAGUGAUCCGACGGCAGAGCGUGGAAUCGCCGUCGCUAAACGGAUAAAAGUUA